rnacentral:rRNA from 1 species
GAUUCCCUUAGUAACGGCGAGCGAAAAGGGAAAUGUCCAGCACCAAGUCUUGACAUCUACGGUGUUCAAGAGAUGCGGUGUUAAUGUAUCGACCCAUCGUGCACUGUUCCACAUUUCAAGUUCCUACGACCGGGACUUCCAGAGCGGGUGUAAGACCCAUAGAGAUGAGGAACCAGUGUAUGCUGAGCGAUGCAUUCUAGAGUCAGGUUGCUUGAGAGUGCAGCUUAAAGUCGGUGGUAAACUCCAUCCAAGACUAAAUAUUACAGCGAGACCGAUAGCAAACAAGUACCGUGAGGGAAAGUUGCAAAGCACUUUGAAGAGAGAGUUCAAAAGUACGUGAAACCACUGGGAGGCAAACAGAUGGAACCACGAAGUGUGCGCCUCGGUCGAUUCAAUCAUCACCACUUGUCAGUUUUUGCAGGUUAGUAUCUUUUCGRAGAUUGAUCUUCAAGAACUAUGAUGGGUGGUGUUGGUGCAUUUCGUGCCGGGGAUGCAAAGCCACGUUCAACUAGAGUUGGGACGGCUGUAAGAAAGAAUCCGAGAAAGGUGACCGUCACGUGCUUGCAUUUGACGGCGUUAUAGUCUUGGAUUGGCACCGUCGCCAAACAUACUGGUUGAUGAAAGUUCUCCAUUUGGAGUUGAACCAUGUCUGCCUGUGGCCGUUAGUCGAUGUUGCGUAAUGUUCUUUGCGUAUCUUUCGAUGCGAAAAGACUUUGCAAAGAUGUCGGCUAGUGGUUGCUUGCGUGACAUGGUGGAACUGUGGCGUGAGUAGGUCGGUCUCCAUCUGACCCGUCUUGAAACACGGACCAAGGAGCCUAUCAUAUACGCGAGUCGCUCGGUCUUGUUUAGGCCUGGGAGGCGUAAUGAAAGUAAAGUUACGAUGCUGUAAAAGGUUGCAGUAACGGCUCGCCCACUUUGUUUAUUGGCAAUAUGGCGAAGCUGGAGCGUAUACGAUGGUACCCGAAAGAUGGUGAACUAUGCCUGGGCAAGACGAAGCCAGAGGAAACUCUGGUGGAGGUCUGUAGCGAUUCUGACGUGCAAAUCGAUCGUCAGACCUGGGUAUAGGGGCGAAAGACUAAUCGAACCAUCUAGUAGCUGGUUCCCUCCGAAGUUUCCCUCAGGAUAGCAGGCGUUUAUUUUUGUGUUGCAGUCUCAUCCGGUAAAGCUAAUGAUUAGAGGUCUUGGGGUUGAAACGACCUCAACCUAUUCUCAAACUUUAAAUGGGUGAGAUGGUUGACUUUCUUGAUUGAAGCCAACCAUUUGGAUGCAAAUGCCUAGUGGGCCAUUUUUGGUAAGCAGAACUGGCGCUGUGGGAUGAACCAAACGUCGAGAUAAGGCAUCAAAUGCGUACGCUCAUCAGACCCCAUGAAAGGUGUUGGUUGCUAUAGACAGCAGGACGGUGGCCAUGGAAGUCGGAAUCC